GGCCGGUUCUCGGGUGGCGCACCCUGGAAUCAGGCUCCCUCCUCUCUGGUUCGGGGUGUGUCACCCAAGAACCACC
rfam:Myotis brandtii contig176689, whole genome shotgun sequence.